CUUGUCUCUUGUGUGUUUAUCCUAGAAAGCCGUGAUUCUAUCCCACUUUUUCCGGCAUCCCAAUAUUACAACUUAUUGGACAGUUUUCACUGUUGGCAGCUGGCUUUGGGUUAUUUCUCCAUUUAUGGCCUAUGGUUCAGCAAGUCAACUCUUGAGGACCUAUUUUCCUGAAGGAAUGAGUGAAACUUUAAUAAGAAACAUUCUCUUUGGAGCAGUGAGAGGGUUGAACUAUCUGCACCAAAAUGGCUGUAUUCACAGGAGUAUUAAAGCCAGCCAUAUCCUCAUUUCUGGUGAUGGCCUAGUGACCCUCUCUGGCCUGUCCCAUCUGCAUAGUUUGGUUAAGCAUGGACAGAGGCAUAGGGCUGUGUAUGAUUUCCCACAGUUCAGCACAUCAGUGCAGCCGUGGCUGAGUCCAGAACUACUGAGACAGGAUUUACAUGGAUAUAAUGUGAAGUCAGAUAUUUACAGUGUUGGGAUUACAGCAUGUGAAUUAGCCAGUGGGCAGGUGCCUUUCCAGGACAUGCAUAGAACUCAG
rnacentral:sRNA from 1 species